rnacentral:rRNA from 1 species
CACGUAGGCGGAUCAGAAAGUUGGGGGUGAAAUCCCGGGGCUCAACCCCGGAACGGCCUCCAAAACUCCUGGUCUUGAGUUCGAGAGAGGUGAGUGGAAUUCCGAGUGUAGAGGUGAAAUUCGUAGAUAUUCGGAGGAACACCAGUGGCGAAGGCGGCUCACUGGCUCGAUACUGACGCUGAGGUGCGAAAGUGUGGGGAGCAAACAGGAUUAGAUACCCUGGUAGUCC